rnacentral:rRNA from 1 species
GACGAACGCUGGCGGCGUGCUUAACACAUGCAAGUCGAACGAUGAAACCUAGCUUGCUAGGUCGAUUAGUGGCGAACGGGUGAGUAACACGUGACUAACCUGCCCCUUUCUCUGGGAUAACGCUCCGAAAGGAGUGCUAAUACGGGAUACUCACACCGAGGCACAUGCCUUGGUGUGGAAAGUUUUUCGGAAAGGGAUGGAGUCGCGGCCUAUCAGCUUGUUGGUGAGGUAACGGCUCACCAAGGCGACGACGGGUAGCCGGCCUGAGAGGGCGACCGGCCACACUGGGACUGAGACACGGCCCAGACUCCUACGGGAGGCAGCAGUGGGGAAUAUUGCACAAUGGGCGCAAGCCUGAUGCAGCGACGCCGCGUGAGGGAUGAAGGUCUUCGGAUUGUAAACCUCUUUCAGUAGGGACGAAGCGAAAGUGACGGUACCUAAAGAAGAAGCACCGGCUAACUACGUGCCAGCCGCCGCCGUAA